rnacentral:lncRNA from 1 species
AAUUUUUAUCCAAUUGGCUUUCAACCUCAUAGAAAACGUGGCCUGCCGAAUUUCAUGAAAAAUCAAGGACAAAGGAUAAUGAUGGCAGCAGCUUGAACAAUCUUAGACGGUAAGGCAUGAUAAAGUUUAAGUCGAUUUACUAUGCUUAUAAAAAUGUAAGUAGAGUCUCAUGAAAAAUGAAUUGAGUGUGUGCUGAAAACGUUAGCGAGCUUGAGAGAAAAAAAAAAGUGUUGUGAGUUAUAGAAGGAAAAACUACCAGCAGCUAGUAUAGAAAGAAAAAAAAAGUUUGUAUUAUAUUUUAUUUAUGUGUUAUUACGCUUCCAACAGGCUGAAAGAAUUAAAAUCACAUACGCAACUUUUUUGGACGUGGCGGCAGUGAAAGAGAUUUGGAGCGAGACGUGGAGGUGGUGGGUCCUGUCUUAGGGCAGCAGUCGGCCAUAAACCACGAACAAUCUCGUCAGCCCAAUGGGGGACUCCCAUUUGAAUUUCGUGCAUAUCCCAUUCAAUUUUUUAUUUAACAUUAAUAAUUUUCAAUUUUAAUUUCGACGUCAAAAAAGUUAUUGGAUUAGUUUUAAGAUUUUACGCUAUUUUCUUUUUUACUAUAUUCGUUAGGUAAUUAUUCA